GAAACUUGAGUUAUCCUCCAGUUUCAGAAAUUUAUUAGCUUUCUGAUUUUUCAGUUAUCUUUGUAGGACUCCAUGGAGUGUUGAGGUUCAACUACAAUUCUCUUCAUAGUUUAGAAAACAGAAACAUCUGCUGCCCAAGAGGAUCUUCAGCAAAAUAAGACUAGGUCAUAUGAAGCAGGAAGGAUUGUGUUUUAGUUAAAAGA
rnacentral:lncRNA from 1 species